UAGGUGGGAGGCUUUGAAGUGUGGACGCCAGUCUGCAUGGAGCCGACCUUGAAAUACCACCCUUUAAUGUUUGAUGUUCUAACGUGGGCCCCUUACCGGGGUUGCGGACAGUGUCUGGUGGGUAGUUUGACUGGGGCGGUCUCCUCCUAAAGAGUAACGGAGGAGCACGAAGGUUGGCUAAUCCUGGUCGGACAUCAGGAGGUUAGUGCAAUGGCAUAAGCCAGCUUGACUGCGAGCGUGACGGCGCGAGCAGGUGCGAAAGCAGGUCAUAGUGAUCCGGUGGUUCUGAAUGGAAGGGCCAUCGCUCAACGGAUAAAAGGUACUCCGGGGAUAACAGGCUGAUACCGCCCAAGAGUUCAUAUCGACGGCGGUGUUUGGCACCUCGAUGUCGGCUCAUCACAUCCUGGGGCUGAAGUAGGUCCCAAGGGUAUGGCUGUUCGCCAUUUAAAGUGGUACGCGAGCUGGGUUUAGAACGUCGUGAGACAGUUCGGUCCCUAUCUGCCGUGGGCGCUGGAGAACUGAGGGGGGCUGCUCCUAGUACGAGAGGACCGGAGUGGACGCAUCACUGGUGUUCGGGUUGUCAUGCCAAUGGCACUGCCCGGUAGCUAAAUGCGGAAGAGAUAAGUGCUGAAAGCAUCUAAGCACGAAACUUGCCCCGAGAUGAGUUCUCCCUGACUCCUUGAGAGUCCUGAAGGAACGUUGAAGACGACGACGUUGAUAGGCCGGGUGUGUAAGCGCAGCGAUGCGUUGAGCUAACCGGUACUAAUGAACCGUGAGGCUUAACCUUACAACGCCGAAG
rnacentral:rRNA from 1 species